GAUGAACGCUGGCGGCGUGCCUAAUACAUGCAAGUCGAGCGAACAGACGAGGAGCUUGCUCCUCUGACGUUAGCGGCGGACGGGUGAGUAACACGUGGAUAACCUACCUAUAAGACUGGGAUAACUUCGGGAAACCGGAGCUAAUACCGGAUAAUAUAUUGAACCGCAUGGUUCAUUAGUGAAAGACGGUUUUGCUGUCACUUAUAGAUGGAUAUGCGCCGGUUUAGCUAGUUGGUAAGGUAACGGCGUACCAAGGCGACGAUGCGUGGCCGACAGGAGAGGGUGAGCGGCCAGACUGGAAGGGAGACACGGUCCAGACGCCUACGGGAGGGAGCAGGAGGGAAACGGGCGCAAGGGGCGGAAACCUGAGGAAGCAGGGCGGAGUGAGGGAGGAAGAUCGCCGGGUCGGAAAUCACGGUUAUUGGGGAGGAACAAGUGUUUGAGUGACUAGGCGCGUGUGGAAGGGAACUGAGCAGAGAGGCACGGCUUACUUAGGU
rnacentral:rRNA from 1 species